UACGUAGGGGGCUAGCGUUGUCCGGAAUCAUUGGGCGUAAAGCGCGCGUAGGCGGCCCGGUAAGUCCGCUGUGAAAGUCAAAGGCUCAACCUUUGAAUGUCAGCGGAUACUGCCGGGCUAGAGUCCGGAAGAGGCGAGCGGAACUCCUGGUGUAGCGGUGGAAUGCGCAGAUAUCAGGAAGAACACCAACGGCGAAGGCAGCUCGCUGGGACGGAACUGACGCUAAGGCGCGAAAGCGUGGGGAGCGAACAGG
rnacentral:rRNA from 1 species